GAUGAACGCUGGCGGCGUGCCUAAUACAUGCCAGUCGAGCGAACGGACGAGAAGCUUGCUUCUCUGAUGUUAGCGGCGGACGGGCGAGUAACACGUGGAUAACCUACCUAUAAGACUGGGAUAACUUCGGGAAACCGGAGCUAAUACCGGAUAAUAUUUUGAACCGCAUGGUUCAAAAGUGAAAGACGGUCUUGCUGUCACUUAUAGAUGGAUCCGCGCUGCAUUAGCUAGUUGGUAAGGUAACGGCUUACCAAGGCAACGAUGCAUAGCCGACCUGAGAGGGUGAUCGGCCACACUGGAACUGAGACAAGGUCCAGACUCCUGAGGGAGGCAGCAGUAGGGAAUCUUCCGCAAUGGGCGAAAGCCUGGCGGAGCAACGCCGCGUGAGUGAUGAAGGUCUUCGGAUCGUAAAACUCUGUUAUUAGGGAAGAACAUAUGUGUAAGUAACUGUGCACAUCUUGACGGUACCUAAUCAGAAAGCCACGGCUAACUACGUG
rnacentral:rRNA from 1 species